rnacentral:rRNA from 1 species
AUUGAACGCUGGCGGCAUGCUUUACACAUGCAAGUCGAACGGUAACAGGCCGCAAGGUGCUGACGAGUGGCGAACGGGUGAGUAAUGCAUCGGAACGUGCCCAGUCGUGGGGGAUAACGCAGCGACAGCUGCGCUAAUACCGCAUACGAUCUAUGGAUGAAAGCGGGGGACCGUAAGGCCUCGCGCGAUUGGAACGGCCGAUGUCAGAUUAGGUAGUUGGUGGGGUAAAGGCUCACCAAGCCAACGAUCUGUAGCUGGUCUGAGAGGGCGACCAGCCACACUGGGACUGAGACACGGCCCAGACUCCUACGGGAGGCAGCAGUGGGGAAUUUUGGACAACGGGCGCAAGCCUGAUCCAGCAAUGCCGCGUGCAGGAAGAAGGCCUUCGGGUUGUAAACUGCUUUUGUACGGAACGAAACGGUCCUGGUUAAUACCUGGGGCUAAUGACGGUACCGUAAGAAUAAGCACCGGCUAACUACGUGCCAGCAGCCGCCGUAA